GCAGAUGUGCGUUCCUGGUCGGGGCAGCCGUGGGCGGCUCGCCUGCAGCGGUCUCAGCGGCCCGAAUUCUGCGGGGCGGUGGUGGGAGGAGGGCUCAGAGCUCCAGCAGGUUUUCUGGGCUUCGUUCGCUUUUUUGCAAGGUCUUGGCCCAGGCGCCUGCCCCUCUUGGAGCGGAAACUGGAGGUUCCCCGUGGUGUAUGCUCCCUUCGAAAUGGAAACAACUGUCGAGAUUGCAGCGGAAUAUGAUUCUCUUCCUCCUUGCCUUUCUGAUUUUCUGUGGACUCCUCUUCUACAUCAACUUGGCUGACCAUUGGAAAGCUCUGGCUUUCAGGCUAGAAGAAGAACAGAAGACAAGGCCAGAAAUUGCUGGGUUGAAACCAGCAAAUCCACCCGUCUUACCAGCUCCUCAGAAGGCAGACACCGACCCUGAGGACUUACCCGAGAUUUCGUCGCAGAAGUCACAAAGACACGUCCAGCAGGGACCACCUCACCUGCAGAUUAGACCCCCAAGCCAAGACCUGAAGGAUGGGACUCAGCAGGAGGCCACAAAAAGGGAAGAAGCCCCUGUGG
rnacentral:sRNA from 1 species